AGGACUAACGCUGGCGGCGUGCCUAACACAUGCAAGUCGAACGAGGUAGCAAUACCUAGUGGCAGACGGGUGAGUAACGCGUGGUCAACCUACCUCUUAGUGGGGGAUAACUAGCCGAAAGGUUAGCUAAUACCGCAUACGAUCGUCGCGAGGCAUCUCGUGACGAUGAAAGGAGCAAUUCGCUAAGAGAGGGGACUGCGUCCCAUUAGUUAGUUGGUGGGGUAAUGGCCCACCAAGACUCCGAUGGGUAGCUGGCUUGAGAGAGCGACCAGCCACACUGGAACUGAGACACGGUCCAGACUCCUACGGAGGCAGCAGUGAGGAAUUUUCCGCAAUGGGCGCAAGCCUGACGGAGCGACGCCGCGUGUGGGAAGAAGGCCUUCGGGUCGUAAACCACUGUCGAAGGGGACGAUAUUGACGGUACCCUUGGAGGAAGCCCGGCUAACUACGUGCCAGCAGCCGC
rnacentral:rRNA from 1 species